rnacentral:rRNA from 2 species
GACGAACGCUGGCGGCGUGCCUAAUACAUGCAAGUCGAACGCACUUUCGUUAGAUUGAAGAAGCUUGCUUCUGAUUGAUAACAUUUGAGUGAGUGGCGGACGGGUGAGUAACACGUGGGUAACCUGCCCUAAAGUGGGGGAUAACAUUUGGAAACAGAUGCUAAUACCGCAUAAAACCUAGCACCGCAUGGUGCAAGGUUGAAAGAUGGUUUCGACUAUCACUUUAGGAUGGACCCGCGGUGCAUUAGUUAGUUGGUGAGGUAAAGGCUCACCAAGACCGUGAUGCAUAGCCGACCUGAGAGGGUAAUCGGCCACACUGGGACUGAGACACGGCCCAGACUCCUACGGGAGGCAGCAGUAGGGAAUCUUCCACAAUGGACGAAAGUCUGAUGGAGCAACGCCGCGUGAGUGAAGAAGGUUUUCGGAUCGUAAAACUCUGUUGUUGGAGAAGAACGUAUUUGAUAGUAACUGAUCAGGUAGUGACGGUAUCCAACCAGAAAGCCACGGCUAACUACGUG